rnacentral:rRNA from 1 species
AUUGAACGCUGGCGGCAUGCUUUACACAUGCAAGUCGGACGAGUGGCGGACGGGUGAGUAACGCAUCGGAACGUACCGAGUAAUGGGGGAUAACUGGCAGAAAGGACAGCUAAUACCGCAUAUUAUUCGAGCGGCCCAGGUUUGAUUAGCUGGUUGGCGGGGUAAUGGCCCACCAAGGCGACGAUCAGUAGCGGGUCUGAGAGGAUGAUCUGCCACACUGGAACUGAGACACGGCCCAGACUCCUACGGGAGGCAGCAGUGGGGAAUUGUGGACAAUGGGCGCAAGCCUGAUCCAGCCAUGCCGCGUGUGUGAAGAAGGCCUUCGGGUUGUAAAGGACUUUUGUCAGGGAAGCGGUACCUGCAGAAUAAGCACCGGCUAACUCCGUGCCAGCAGCCGCGGUAAUAC